UACGUAGGGACCGAGCGUUGUCCGGAAUCAUUGGGCGUAAAGAGCGUGUAGGCGGCCCCUUAAGUCCUGCGUGAAAUCCUGCGGCUCAACCGCAGACGGUCGUGGGAAACUGGAGGGCUAGAGUGCGGGAGAGGAGAGUGGAAUUCCCGGUGUAGCGGUGAAAUGCGCAGAUAUCGGGAAGAACACCGGUGGCGAAGGCGGUUCUCUGGGCCUGUUCUGACGCUGAGGAGCGAAAGCGUGGGGAGCGAACAGG
rnacentral:rRNA from 1 species